AUUGAACGCUGGCGGCAGGCCUAACACAUGCAAGUCGAACGAGUGGCGGACGGGUGAGUAAUGUCUGGGAAACUGCCCGAUGGAGGGGGAUAACUACUGGAAACGGUAGAUAAUACCGCAUACCAUCGGAUGAGCCCCGAUGGGAUUAGCUAGUAGGUGGGGUAAUGGCUCACCUAGGCGACGAUCCCUAGCUGGGCUGAGAGGAUGAACAGCCACACUGGAACUGAGACACGGUCCAGACUCCUACGGGAGGCAGAAGUGGGGAAUAUUGCACAAUGGGGGCAAGCCUGAGGCAGCCAUGCCGCGUGUAUGAAGAAGGCCUUCGGGUUGUAAAGUACUUUCAGCGAGGAGGCGUUACUCGCAGAAGAAGCACCGGCUAACUCCGUGCCAGCAGCCGCGGUAAUUC
rnacentral:rRNA from 1 species